GGAAGGAUUGUCCAGCUGUACGGGAAGAGGCAGAAAUGAAGGAGCAAUCGCAUUAAGCCACUGGAGCUAAUGCUCUGGGCAACCACCUGACUCUGGGAGAAACAGCAGCUCAAACAGCUGAAAGAUAUCCUGGCGGGGGAAGAGGGAGGACCUCAUUGACUUGGGGGCUGCCUGAGAUAGAGGGAAAGUACACGGAAGCCCAAGGCUCCAAAUCUAGGACCUCGCAGAGGAAGAGAACGUUCUGGCUCGGACCCUAGGCUCUGACACUUGUCGACAAGUAAGGUUACCUGCCUUUUCUUCA
rnacentral:lncRNA from 1 species